AGGUGAAGGGGGGGAGGGAGGGGAGAGGAAUAAAUGGGUAGUAAUUCGGUAAAAUAAAAUAAAAUAAAUGAACUAGAGUCUGCUGGUGUUUCUCCGGGCCAUGGAUGUGCAGGAUCCCGAUCGUUAGAAGUUUGCGGAUGGGUUGCCUGGAGAUUUGGUUACAAUCAGGUUCAUUUUUUUUUUUUCCCCUCCUGAAACAAGUGAAGGCGAUGGUUACUGCUGUCAAUCUUGGCAAUCAAUGUGAGCGGCCAUGUCGUAAGUAUUCAAAGCAUUUCCCGUCGUGCAACAUCAGAAAGUGAGUGGCCAGGGCAUUGAUCUGAGGAAGGCAAAAGGAGGCAGGGCUCCCCCGCCCAGACAGCACAGGCAAGAUGAGACAACACAGGGAGAGAGAGGAGGGAGAGGGGAAGGGAGGGAGAGACACAGAGAGAGAGAGAGGCUGGGAGCGAGCGGGGAGAGCAACAACUGCGGAGAAAGUGAGCACAAAACAGAAAGUGAAAUCGGCGCGGGCUGCCAGCCGCAUCCCCGCGCAGCUAUCACCACUCACAGGGCCAUUAGACACAUGAAACCCUACACCGCUCCGCUCCCGCUAAUGACCACUGAUUGCCCGCAGUGGUGAGGAAAGUGAACACCCGCCGUGCGGAUCCGUACACACGUGCCGAGAAACACGAAAAAGCUUUCACUUGGAGUGGUACCCCACGUUUAGAAACCGCGUUCGGAAUCACUGCCCUGGCUUUGGCUGCAUGAAGGCUAAAGGCAGGCAGAUGUUGAGGAGGGAUGCUGACCUGCUGGGGCUCCCUGCACAGGGAAGGGACCGCAGGCGCUCACAUCACGUCAGGGCACUUACCUGUGCACAGCUGUCAUGGCAUUUGGCGCCGUGUGUCACACUAAAUGCCUUAAAGUAAAGCAAUAUUCAACAAGCGAGGCAACCUGUCUGCGUGCUAAGUUGUACGUACGGCAUCUCUAACCUGAGCAGCAAACCUGCAACUCCUGGAGAGUUGGCGGAACACUCAGAAGUUUUGGAUUCAAAGGGCAAAAAAUUUCACUUUAAAAGUCGUUCACCACUUCUAAACUGCCCUCUCGCCCCAGUUAAUGCCGGACAAUUAAGAAGCAUGUUUAUAAAUUCCCUCUGCCGACACUGUCCGACAAUAAAGGCUUCUUAUAGGCUUGCUAAAGAUGUUCAGAGAAACUUUUGCGAAAUAAUCAACAGCAUCUGAGAGAAAGCUAAGGAAAAAGAAGUUAAAGCCUGAUAAUCAGAUUGGGAAAAGUUUUGUUAGACUAGAUAGAAGUAAAUUACUGCACGUUUCUUCAAAAGCAAACCCAUCAGCUGAUACAAGUACCCCUAGAACAAGAACCUCUGGCGAACUCCUCCAAAACUAGGGGACGUUUGCAUUUUGUAACACUCAAAGCUAAAGAUCUGCCUGAAAACAAAAACUCUGAAUUCCUUACAGCGUCAUCUGCCAACAAAAUGUAUUGUCUUGGCAGAAAGAGGAUCAAGGAGAUUUUAAUUUCAUUUUAAACUGUGCAUCAUCUUGAUAGUGAAGGAAAAAGCCGCAGCAACAAUCUCCCCGCUCCACGCCCCCGCCGUUAAAAAAAAAAAAAAAAAAAAAAAAAAAAAAAAAAAAAAAAAAAGGGGGGGGGGGAAGAGAGAACUGGAAAAACCACAUAAACUUUUACAAAGAAAAUAAAAGCAAGUUCGACAUGAAAACCCCUUCCUGUCUCGGAAAGUUCAUUUUAAAGGUCCCCUCUGUAAAUCUAAAGUGCAAACACCAGGCUAAGGUAGUGAGUGGCUGGAAUUUGCAUGCUGAUAAGAGAAGGCUGUUGUACUUACAGUGACAGAGGGCAGGCUGCGGAAGAAAAGCUGUUUGUGUUAGCCUGAGAGUCACCCAGGGCUGCAAUGAGAGGAGAAGAGAGGAGUGGGAGUGCCAAGCUGGAUACACCUUCACCGCAUCUCAUCACAUCUGCCAGCCUCUCUCUCCCUCUCUCUUUCAUUUCCACAUUCCCUUUGUUCCUGAAAAAAAAUCUACACGUCACAUCAGUCCCCAGAUGCAGUCUACACCAAAGAAAAAAAAAAUGAAUAAUUCAAUCAAACUGUGCAUAGUCUCUAAGGCAAUAAAUCUAUUGCACUUAAAGAAACGAAGGGUAAUUACCGCUAUAGAAUUAGAAUAAGGCCAGAGCGCGCAGGGAUCCCAGGGUCUGUAAACUCCACGGUCAAAUAAAGUUUCAUUUAUUUAAUCCUUUGACAACCCCAAUGUAAACUAAAGGGGAGGAUCAGAACUUAUUCCAGUUGGGUUUGAGAAUGCUUGAAGUGAAUGUUAUAAAAGGAGAGCGCCCGUGGUCUGUGACAAACACAAUGCAGGGGAGUAGAAGUGUUUCACUGCAUCACCUCCAGGGUCCGUUCCCCCCUCCCUAAUGAAGAGCAGACCACACUCCCACUUCCACCGGCUCCUGCUGCUCGCUGCAAGUGCAGCGGGGAUCGCUGGCAGCCAGCAGCCGCCUUACCUGCUCCCGAGCGCCAGCACAGCCUGACAAAAACUCAGGGGAGCCGGCAAUUUUGUUCCACGCUCUGGCGGAGGGAAGCCUCGGGGGAUUUGCACCGGCAAGGAUUGCCCCGGAACGGUGCCCCUGACGCGCGGCUGUGCGCGGGGCUGAGGCGGGGGACUGCCCGCCGGGGGCGGGGGGAGCCCGGCGGGAGCGGAGCCCGGCGGGGCGGGCGCGGCGGCGCUGCCGGAGCGCGGUGACGGACCGGCCGGGGCGGGAGGCGGCAGCCGCGCUGCUCCCGCUCCUGCCUGGCAGGCUGCUCCCUCGGCUCGGAGACCCUCGCUCCGAUGCCGCCGGGCUCUGCGCCGACCGGGGAGGCAGAAACACCUUCGGCCGGCGCGGAGCAUCGCGCACCUCCCGUCCCUGCGCCGCUGCAGCAGCGGUUUGAUUUCCCCGAGACAUUACCGGGACUGCUAUUCCAGCGGCGGCGGAGCGGAGCGCGCUCCCGGCCGCCCGGCCGGGGCUGUCCGUGUGCUUACCGCGCCACCGUGAGGCGGCCGCGGGGCCCGCACCGAGCGCGCCGCGCUCCCGGGGACCCCGGCAGGGCGGGCCGGGCUCGGGGCUCCGCCGCGGGCAGCGCGCAGGGGUCCGGGACAGUGCACGCCGCUGCCUCCCGCCCGCUCUCACGGGCCGGAGAAAGACGGGGAGAAUUUAUAGAGAAUUGAGGGAGAUGGGAAUACACAAAGCGAAAGCACCACACCGCUGUUUCCCUUAACCCCCUGCCCCGAGACUUUCUCCCUCCUUCGCCCGUCUCGCCGUCGCCGGGCGCUCCCCAGAGGAUUGGGGUGAGUAGGGCAGAGCGCAUCCCGGCCCGCUCCUCCCGCCGGCACCGCUCCUUGUAGAUCCCGUGCGAACCCCCUGCUGGAAGGCAGUGUCCGCUCGUAGCGUGUGCCAGGGAGCGCUGCUGGCUCCUCUGCCCAUCCUCUUUCCGCCUCCUUCCCCGGCCAAAAUCAGGCCAGUUGCACUGCCCAGGCUUUCCUAGAAGAUUUUCCUUCUCAAGUCUUUUAGCUGAUUUCAAGUUUGAGGCUGGGGUUUUGGUUAUAUUUUGGUGUUUGGUUAUAUUUAUAUUAAUGGAAAGGGAAUUAAAAAAAAAAAAGGAAGACUAGGCUGUCACCACCAAUGGACAGCACCUGGGGUGACACUGCUAAAAGUUGUGGACAAGGCUCAGCACGGUGACUUUCUUAGGCAUGCUCCAGGCACACAAAAGCUAUGGAAAUGGAUUUACUGUAGCAGACAGAUUUUUUUUUUUAUAUAGGGCCACAGCACAUCACUCACCUCUCACAAAAACCUUUAACCCAGAAGGGAGUUCCUCUCAGGAGGCUUUUAGCAGCUGGUGGAAAGCAUCCCAGCUACUGGAAAGCAUCCAUCAUGUCAGGGAAUCCUGGCACCCAGAAAAACACUGACUGCCCUGGCAAGGUUGAAGUCUCUUAACUCCUACCUACUAGUUGCACUGGCAGAGUAAGCUCCACACAUGAACCAUGAGAACUCUAAUAAAAAACUCCAAAAAAUGGCAGUUAGAUUCAGCUGUGAUUGGGAAUCACCUUAAGACUGAAUACCUGAUGCUUUUCAUGCAUACAGUAAAAGUAGAAAAACAUUAGAGUGACUGGAAGGUGCAAAUAUUUCCAUUGAAAUGCAUCUGCUGCUCCUAAUCUGGGAAUUUCACCUAACAACUGGAUUUGCCUGUCAUCUGAAUAAAUUUUCAACUCCCAUCUCUGUACAACAGGAUGACCAUAAAACACCGCUGACAUACAAAAAACGCAGCUCAAGAUUAACAGUGAUUUAAAAUGUGCUUUCCCUGAAGCAGCCCAAAGCCAUGCCAGAGAUGUUUAAAGCAAUCAUCACACUCAUCCUAAGGCAUCUCUUCCUUGAGCGUGCUCCUGUGUAGCCUCACAUAUUAUACCAAUUUUCCCAGCUUCAGCUGGGAGUAGCAGAGCUUGUUGUGGGAAUGAGGGGGGACAGGAGGAUCUGUGUCAGAUAGAGCUAUACUCACAAGCACAUUUGAGGGGCUGGGAGGGGACUCGUGCUACAGGAUGCCCCUACAGCCCACAGCAGCUCUAUUUUAUAUUCCAGCCCAGAGUAAGCUCCAGGUCAGUGGUGUAAACAUGAAAGCUGCUGAGGAUCUUCCCCUAGAAUCUCAGUGACAGAAAAGGCUUUGCUAAAACGUGAUGACUGCAAAGCCCUAUCAGCACACCACGGUGCUUUUAUUUUCUCACUGGCAAUGUCCCAUUCUGACAGCACAUGCCGGAAUUCAACAGAGCAUGUAUAGGCUUUCUAUUGUACCACCGUAAUUAUUUCAUCAGGUUAUUUUUGUUUCAUGCACCCCCCUCAAAUAAAAAAUAACCCCACCAGCAAAGUACAAUUUUCAAAGACCCCGACUGAACUACUAUGCUACAAACAUAUACUGAGUAAAAAAAAUCCAAACAAACAAACAAAAAUACCCAAAUAAAACAAAACAAAAAAAAAAAAAAAUCAAAAAACAACCCUGAAGGUUAGAAUAAAUAAACAAAGUUGUCUUUGACCUGGAGAGUGGCCCACACUGCAAAUAAAUGCAUUACCACUUAACCACACGCACAUGCCACAUUUACAGAAAUAAAAGGAAUCCCCAUGAUAGGGCAAUGAUUUCAUAUUUUAUAUUACUACCACUGUGCACUUAUAAAUUGCAUUGGUUUCAAGAUGUUCUUUUGGAUUUGUGACAGUAUGGCCUAAUCUUGUAGGCUCGUGUCACUGCCAGCUUUUCCAUCCAGAAGCUCAAGUCCUGUGCAUGUGAAGUACAUGCUUCUUACAAAGAGACUCAAAAUGAUGAUGUUGAAAAGGAUUAGCAGUUUAGAAAAUACCAAGACAAGAGGUUAAAAUGUCUACAAAGAUAUUUUGGGGUACGGAGUCGUUUCAAGCUGUCCAAUUUUAUUUGGAGCUUCUAAAUAUCAUGGCAUAUCCCACGCCAUGUCCUCCCUCCAUGUCGGGCGCUUCACAUUUUCUUACCCAAAUACGCAGUAGUAACUUCUGGUAACUAAGUUGACUAAGAAGCAAAUCACUGUAUAAAUCUUCCAAAACAUGUUUAAAUAUAGCUUAGUAAACCGGGAAUGUUGGGCAGAAACUGCUGAAAGCAUUCAUACUGGUAAAACUGAAAUGUGACAUGAUCUCAACGUAUUCGAACAUUCAAUUAUAUGAAACGUUUUUCCAGUGUAAUAUCAGAUUUAAGACUGAAGUGAAGUAAAUGUGAUUUGACUGGUUUGGAAUCUUCCUAAGACAAAUGACUGAAUGUUCAAGGUGUUUUAUUUCCUAUUUGGAUCAGUGAUCAAUAAGCCUUAUACAUGAGAAUCAAGCAUUUUGAAUCGAAAACACACUUUUUUAAUAAGUGCAAGUUAGACUGAAUAAAAUUACUAUGUUUGGAGAGCAAAUCUCACUAUUUUUUUAAAUCAUUGCAAUCUAUAUAAUUAUGAAGUAACUUGAAUAAGGCAUCUUACAUUGGUCCUAAAUUUUUUACUCAAGUAAAACCGUCAUUGAUUCCAACGUGAGUGUUGCCUGAGUAAUAGAGUUCCCUGUCAAACUGUUAAAAUCAGCUAACUUCUAAAAGCCUGUAGAUUGAUGAAAUAACAUGAUUAUACUAAAGGUAUGUAUUUAAUAUGGAAAAAAAAAAAACAAGUUACCAGGCAAAGCCUUUUCACUUUUCACAUUUACAAUAAAAUAAGGCAGUAAUAUAAGUAAAUAUUUUGGGGGGGUUUAUAACUCUGUGCCUGGUCAUGAAGACACUUAAGCUUGUGUUUUUAUUUAUGUAAGUCAUGCCAGUGAAGCAGUGCUCUCAUGUCACAAGCAUUUGAGGUUUAGCAUCUAGGACAAUAGAAACAGCAAUAAACUGGCUUUAAACAUUCCACUAGCAAAACAAGAUUGUUUUUUGCCGUGGAUUGCACUGUAAGAGUUACUUUGGAAUGUCGUGUUUAAAAGUUUCUGAGUGAUGGUAUACAUUCUCUUUGUUUUGAGUGAACAAGCCUUUCAUCAACAUAAUGUAGCAGAGUUAGAUUUUAAAAAGGUUCUCAUAGGAAGCCAGAAUUCCUUCACAAAAAACCAACAUCAGACAAAUGAAAAAUACAGACAUACACCUUUUUCUGUUUUUUUUUUUUAAUGAAGUAUUAAAAGCUUAAUUCUAAUAAGAAUAUUAGGUAAAUAAAUGUUAGCUCUACUGAGUGCUAUUAGCAUAGUUGAAAUAGUAGUUUAUAAAUUUUUGAGAGCAUCAGCAUCAUGAUAUGGUUGUCAUAGAAACUGCAACAAUAUGUCAUUUCAAUUAAUUUUACAUGCAGUGAUGCUGAGGUCUGUGUUACAAUUCUUUUAGGAAGUUCUAGAAGUAAAUAUUGAAUAGCAGGAAUAAAAGCAUUAAUAGAUAAUGGUACCCUUAAAUUAUUAUUUAAUUAACAAAACAGGGAGAAAUUUAAAUUAUUCUAAAAUAAUGACCAUGCUGGAGGAAUCAGUUACACUGACUUAGACUUCAAAACAUCAAAAUUAAAAGACGAAAGCUACGGAAACAUUCAAACUCUAACUGAAAAAAAGUAUCUUUUCCCAAAUGAAGCAGAUUUGAAAAAAAAGUUAAAAAAAUUAUUCCUGUCCAUGAAAUAUAAAACAUGAAAUGGUUUUAAAUCAUCAAUGUUCCUUUUGUGUGUGCAAGAAGCAAAAAGUCAAACGUUACAAAUCCAGGACCAUAAUACAAGAUUUUAAAAAAAGCUUGAAAGGUAGAAAACAUAACAUGAAUAGAUUUAUUUUUCCUGUAUAAUGCAGCUACUGUGUGUUAUGAAUGCUACCUUAAGUAAAUCAUUGCCAGACAUACUCAACUGACAUUAAUGACUUGAUUAUUAGAACAGAAAAGCUAACCGAAAUAAAGGCAGUGUUUCUAAAAAAUAAUUAUAUUGUAGCAGUGUGAAUGUUUUAUUUAUUAUUUUUUAGGUUAUGUAUGAACAUAUACCUCUGUUUUCUUAUUGCACAUGUAUGAUACAAUACCUGAUCUGAUAGCUUAUAUAUGAAAGAAAAUACUGAGCAGAUUGUAAUGAGAAAAAAAAUUAGAUUUUCAACACAUUUUAUACUGCAAUCAAUAAUUCCACAGUAUAUUUUGCUUAAAUUUACUGAGUUACCACACAGACUAGAAUGUGCAAGACCUUUCAAACUGAGAUGUAAAAUGACCUGUUUGUAAGUAAAUAAAAGCUAUCGCUAUUACAAAAAAAAAUUUAAAAAGGGAAAAAAAAAAGAAAAUAAACCCCCCAACCUAUGGAAGCUAUCUGCAGUGAGAAAGGAGAAGCAUCUAGAGCUCUCCUUUCUGAUAGGAUUAAGGAAUGCUACAAAAGAAGCAUUUAAAUCUCCAGUUUUCCCUGACAAUUAACAAUGAAAAGCAGAUGUUUACAAAGCUAUUUUACAUGCUCGUUUAUAAGAUGCUAAAAGAUGGUUUGUGGAUGGUAAGAAGCAAGAGCUGGAUAACUGCUUGUCUGGUGUAUAUUUAAAAGCAUUUUCAUUGGCUCAGUUAUUGUUAAUAAUGAAAGAAACACUUUGUGCUGUAUAGCUGUGACUAUAGAAAACUGCCGUCGUAAAGUCCUCAACAAACUCUUAAGAUGCAAUUUACAAAGAUAAUAAUAACACAGAAUUAUUUCACUUCUCUGAAUGCUACACAUUUGCAUACCAGGACUGUGUACAAUAUACUCAUAAUGCACAUUCAUAACAACAAGGACUUCUUAACAUUGCAACAGCACAAGAUCUGUGCAUUAAAAAUCUACAGAU